rnacentral:rRNA from 1 species
UACGGGGGGGGCAAGCGUUGUUCGGAAUUACUGGGCGUAAAGGGCUCGUAGGCGGCCAACUAAGUCAGACGUGAAAUCCCUCGGCUUAACCGGGGAACUGCGUCUGAUACUGGAUGGCUAGAGGUUGGGAGAGGGAUGCGGAAUUCCAGGUGUAGCGGUGAAAUGCGUAGAUAUCUGGAGGAACACCGGUGGCGAAGGCGGCAUCCUGGACCAAUUCUGACGCUGAGGAGCGAAAGCCAGGGG